rnacentral:rRNA from 1 species
AACGAACGCUGGCGGCAGGCUUAACACAUGCAAGUCGAGCGCAUCCUUCGGGGUGAGCGGCAGACGGGUGAGUAACGCGUGGGAAUCUACCUUUUGCUACGGAAUAGCUCCGGGAAACUGGAAUUAAUACCGUAUGUGCUCUUAGGGGGAAAGAUUUAUCGGCAAGAGAUGAGCCCGCGUUGGAUUAGCUAGUUGGUGGGGUAAAGGCCUACCAAGGCGACGAUCCAUAGCUGGUCUGAGAGGAUGAUCAGCCACAUUGGGACUGAGACACGGCCCAAACUCCUACGGGAGGCAGCAGUGGGGAAUAUUGGACAAUGGGCGCAAGCCUGAUCCAGCCAUGCCGCGUGAGUGAUGAAGGCCUUAGGGUUGUAAAGCUCUUUCACCGGAGAAGAUAAUGACGGUAUCCGGAGAAGAAGCCCCGGCUAACUUCGUG